CGUGCUCUGGGCUGCCUCCCAAUCGUUGUGCUCUGUAUGGACGAUGAAUGCCUGUGUGUGGCUGCAUGGCGCCGCUGUUUGAGUUCAGUGAAGCUGUUUCUGUUUGUGUGAGGAAGCAUUUCUGACACGUUUUAGCCGUGGCUGAAUAAACAUGGGACGUCGUUCUUCAGACAGCGAGGAUGACAGCCGCAGUCGGCGGAAGAAGAAGCACAGACGCCGCUCUUCUUCUUCUUCCUCCAGCUCAUCAGGCAGCAGAGUGACGAGCCGCAGCAAACAUUCCAGCAGGAGAAGUUCCCGGGACAGAGACAGGGACAGGGACCGGGACCGCGACAGGGACAAAGAUCGAGACCGUGAUCGAGACAGAGAACGAGAUCGAGACCGUGAUCGUGAUCGUGAUAGAAGGCGAAGGCACCGUUCCAGCAGCAGCUCCUCCAGAGGCUCCAGUCACAGGAGGCGGAGCCGCAGCACUGACAAAGGGCGGGGCCACAGGUCACGGAGGUCUCGCUCCCGCAGCCGUAAGAGAUUUUAUACAGUUUUUUUUCAGAGGUAAAAGAGCUGACCAGAACAUUGGACCUUAAAAUGGUUUUAAAUAUACUACAGAUUAUUUAUGGAAAUAGAUAUUCUAAUAUUCUAUGCACUUAAACUGUUAGGUGUAAGCACAAAAAAGUUGAAAUUCAAGUCAGUUUAUGAAUUGUAUCUAAAAUGUACAACAAUCAUUAAAAAUGUGACGGAUUAAGUUGAUAAAUUAGUUAACUUAUUAAAUUAACAUAUAUAUAUAUUUGUUUAUUAAUUAUUAAAAAUUAAACUAGCUAGAAUUUAUUUUUAUAUUUUCUGAAUUUACACAAAGUGGUCUGGGUUGCAGAAGGAGACUCCUGUUAUGUUUAACAGAGUGUUUUAUUUAAAUGAUAUAUAAAGUAUUUUAUAGUAUAAUAUAUUUUAUGUAUGUGUUUGUGUAAAUGUUUAAUAAAAGAGUUAAUACCUUUUAUAAAUAUAUUAAA
rnacentral:lncRNA from 1 species